rnacentral:rRNA from 1 species
CAUCAACGCGCACGGGUGUUGGGAGACAUAGCCCGGAGAUGGAUUCUGAGACACGAAUCCAGACCCUACGGGGUGCAGCAGGCGCGAAAACUUGGCAAUGCGAGAAAUCGUGACCAGGGAACUCCAAGUGGCUGGGGUAAGACCCAGUCUUUUCUUGACUCUUCAACGGUCUUGGAAUAAGGGGUGGGUAAGGACGGUGCCAGCCGCCGCGGUAAUACCGGCGCCUCAAGUGGUAGUCGAUUUUAUUGGGCCUAAAACGUCCGUAGCCUGUUUGGUACAUUCGUGGGUAAAUCAACCAGCUCAACUGGUUGAAUUCUGCGAGCACGGCCAGACUUGGGACCGGGAGAGGUGUGGGGUACGCUCAGGGUAGGGGUAAAAUCCUGUCAUCCUGAGCGGACCACCUGUUGCGAAGGCGCCACACUAGAACGG